rnacentral:rRNA from 1 species
AUACAGAGGGUGCAAGCGUUAAUCGGAUUUACUGGGCGUAAAGCGCGCGUAGGUGGCUAAUUAAGUCAAAUGUGAAAUCCCCGAGCUUAACUUGGGAAUUGCAUUCGAUACUGGUUAGCUAGAGUAUGGGAGAGGAUGGUAGAAUUCCAGGUGUAGCGGUGAAAUGCGUAGAGAUCUGGAGGAAUACCGAUGGCGAAGGCAGCCAUCGGGCCUAAUCGGGAACCUGAGGGGCGAAAGCAGGGGGAGAAAACGGGAUUAGAGGCCCUGGUAGCCCAGGCCGUAAACGAUGUCUACUAGCCGUUGGGGCCCUUGAGGCUUUAGUGGCGCAGCUAACGCGAUAAGUAGACCGCCUGGGGAGUACGGUCGCAAGACUAAAACUCAAAUGAAUUGACGGGG